AGAGUUUGAUCAUGGCUCAGAGCGAACGCUGGCGGCAGGCCUAACACAUGCAAGUCGAGCGCCCCGCAAGGGGAGCGGCAGACGGGAGAGUAACACGUGGGAACGUACCCUUCAGUUCGGAACAACCCAGGGAAACUUGGGCUAAUACCGAAUACGUCCGUAAGGAGAAAGAUUUAUCGCUGAAGAAUCGGCCCGCGUCUGAUUAGCUUGUUGGUGAGGUAACGGCUCACCAAGGCGACGAUCAGUAGCUGGUCUGAGAGGAUGAUCAGCCUCACUGGGACUGAGACACGGCCCAGACUCCUACGGGAGGCAGCAGUGGGGAAUAUUGGACAAUGGGCGCAAGCCUGAUCCAGCCAUGCCGCGUGGAUGAUGAAGGCCCUAGGGUUGUAAAGUCCUUUCGGCGGGGAAGAUAAUGACGGUACCCGCAGAAGAAGCCCCGGCUAACUUCGUGCCAGCAGCCGCGGUAAUACGAAGGGGGCUAGCGUUGCUCGGAAUCACUGGGCGUAAAGCGCACGUAGGCGGCUUUUUAAGUCAGGGGUGAAAUCCUGGAGCUCAACUCCAGAACUGCCUUUGAUACUGAGAAGCUUGAGUCCGGGAGAGGUGAGUGGAACUGCGAGUGUAGAGGUGAAAUUCGUAGAUAUUCGCAAGAACACCAGUGGCGAAGGCGGCUCACUGGCCCGGUACUGACGCUGAGGUGCGAAAGCGUGGGGAGCAAACAGGAUUAGAUACCCCGGUAGUCC
rnacentral:rRNA from 1 species